UUUUAUUGGCCAAAUACAGUGCCAGUAAAUUCUUAAACAACACCAGUAAAAUUACGUCCUGGGAUAGAAGAAACCUCACUCGUUUUACAAAGGAGAAGUGUGAACAGAUGAGAAGAGAAAGCAUGAGCUGUGGAAUCACUGAGUUGAUGCAUUCACUGAAUCACUCUCAAGAGAAGAGAAGGUAUUUCAAGGAUGCUGGUGGCAGGCUCAGACUGCAGAGAAACUCAUCACAGACUCACUGUUUCCAAACACAGGCAUCAGAGCGCCACAGCCCAAGGCAGCGUCUCAGAGGUGUUGCAGCAGACCAACCUACUGGAAUGAAAAAUGAUGCCAUUUUUGUCGUAAACAUGAAAUGCUACAUGAAACUCACUUGGAGCCUCAUUUGAGAAUCAACUCAAAUGGCCUUCGUGUAAACGAUCUGGACUCCACAGCAGGGUCUGAGCAGCUGCAUUAAACAAUCCCUGGUUGGAGCCACACCACACUGAUCAAGGGGAGGAGAAACAAACAGACCCUGCAAGUAAGAAAGGACACUUUAUGUGUGAAGGUACGAACAGCUAUUUUGAGAACAAGAGAUACUACGGCAGUCACUGGUGAUUUUCCUAUUGUCUGGUUUUAAAGGCCUAUAAUGCUUUCAUUCUUUUGAUAGGUUUUAUACUAGUUUGUCUUGUUUAAAUUCAUUGUGUGUGAAGAUAUGUACAACUAUUUCAAAGAAAACAGGAGACAUUUUGGUAGGCAGUGUUGAUUUCCUGUUGUCUUGUUUUGAAAUCCUGUGUUGCCUGCAUUGUUUUGCUCUGAUCUGCUUUGUUCUGUUUUAUUCUCUUUAAAGUAAAAAAAAGGAGAGAAAGAAAAAAAAAAUAAAGGCUAUUUUGUAACAUGCUUAUCGGCCUCACUAAAACCCUUAGUAGUUACUACCUUCUUUCCUUCUCCCUUCUUUCCUGCCUCCUUUCCUUCAUCUUUCUCUAUGUCCAGCACAAGAAACAGAGUAAUGAGUUAAAAGGUCAAGACUUCAAUGUGACAUCUGCCCUGAAGACCACCACAGGUGUGUCACAGUAAAAACCAGAUGGCAGUGGGAAUGCAAGGAAAGAAUAUGCCUGGAUCAGGAUGGGGGAGGUGGGCCUUUAGCCCAGCUCUCAUAUGCCCUGUGCUAGGCUUGGAAGAUUGUUUUUUUUUUUUUUUAAUUGUAUAGUUAAAGUUCUACUCGUCAAUUACUACACUAAUAAUGCACUUAAAUUGAUCGUUUUUAAUAAGUUUUAGAAAUUUAAUGUAUAGGUGAAUGAUUUUUUUCCUUGGUGGAGUACUCGGACUGAUCUGAGGACUUUCAUUUGCACUGAGCCAUAUUCUCAGAUCAUUUUUAAUUUUUAACU